AGAACGAACGCUGGCGGCAGGCCUCAAACAUGCAAGUCUAGCGGGCAUAGCAAUAUGUCAGCGGCGGACGGGUGCGUAACACGUGGGAAUGUACCUAUUGGUUCGGAACAACGCAGGGAAACUUGCGCUAAUACCGAAUGUGCCCUUCGGGGGAAAGAUUUAUCGCCAAUGGAUCAGCCCGCGUUCGAUUAGCUAGUUGGUGAGGUAACGGCUCACCAAGGCGACGAUCAGUAGCUGGUCUGAGAGGAUGAUCAGCCUCACUGGGACUGAGACACGGCCCAGACUCCUACGGGAGGCAGCAGUGGGGAAUCUUGCGCAAUGGGCGAAAGCCUGACGCAGCAACGCCGCGUGGGGGACGAAGGCUCUCGGGUUGUAAACCCCUUUCAGCAGGAACGAAUUGACGGUACCUGCAGAAGAAGCCCCGGCCAACUACGUGCCAGCAGCCGC
rnacentral:rRNA from 1 species